rnacentral:misc_RNA from 1 species
UGUCUGCCAGCGCUUAACUGCGCGGUGACGGAACUAAACACCUUACACACUGUGUUUUUUGUUUUUAUGAAACAUUUGCUUUGGUCUGGCGAGAGAUUGCUGGGCCAGAGACUAACACCUAAACUUCAAUUUUAUUGAAUUUUUUUUUUAAAUAAUUAUUUGUCAAUUUUGUUUGAUUAAUUUCAAAAAUAAUCUUCAAAACUUUCAACAACGGAUCUCUUGGUUCUCGCAUCGAUGAAGGACGCAGCGAAAUGCGAUAAGUAAUAUGAAUUGCAGAUUUUCGUGAAUCAUCGAAUCUUUGAACGCACAUUGCGCCCUUUGGUAUUCCAGAGGGCAUGCCUGUUUGAGCGUCAUUUCUCUCUCAAACCUUUGGGUUUGGUAUUGAGUGAUACUCUUAGUCGAACUAGGCGUUUGCUUGAAAUAUAACGGCAGGAGUGUACUGGAUAGUACGAACUGGUUUAUUCAAUGUAUUAGGUUUAUCCAACUCAUUGAUGGAAUCGGGGCAGUAAAUUUCUAGUAAUUUUGGCUCGGCCUUAUAAUAACAAACAUAAGUUUGACCUCAA